GACGAACGCUGGCGGCGUGCUUAACACAUGCAAGUCGAACGGAAAGGCCCUGCUUUUGUGGGGUGCUCGAGUGGCGAACGGGUGAGUAACACGUGAGUAACCUGCCCUUGACUUUGGGAUAACUUCAGGAAACUGGGGCUAAUACCGGAUAGGAGCUCCUGCUGCAUGGUGGGGGUUGGAAAGUUUCGGCGGUUGGGGAUGGACUCGCGGCUUAUCAGCUUGUUGGUGGGGUAGUGGCUUACCAAGGCUUUGACGGGUAGCCGGCCUGAGAGGGUGACCGGCCACAAUGGGGAUGGAGAUCCGCCCAGGCCCCCACGGGGGGGAGGAGGGGGGAAAUUUUGAAAAGGGGGGGGAGGCCGAAGCCAGCACCGCCGGGGGGGGAUGGACGGCCUUGGGUUUGAAAACCGUUUCCGCCGGGAACGAGGGGUGGGGGACGGGAGUGGGUAAAGAAGCACCGGCUAACUCCGUG
rnacentral:rRNA from 1 species